GCUCUUUUGGUUUAGCGGCGGACGGGUGAGUAACACGUGGGCAACCUGCCCUGCAGAUCGGGAUAACUCCGGGAAACCGGUGCUAAUACCGAAUAGUUUGGCGCCUCUCCUGAGGCGCUACGGAAAGACGGCAUCUCGCUGUCACUGCAGGAUGGGCCCGCGGCGCAUUAGCUAGUUGGUGGGGUAACGGCCCACCAAGGCGACGAUGCGUAGCCGACCUGAGAGGGUGAUCGGCCACACUGGGACUGAGACACGGCCCAGACUCCUACGGGAGGCAGCAGUAGGGAAUCUUCCGCAAUGGACGCAAGUCUGACGGAGCAACGCCGCGUGAGUGACGAAGGUUUUCGGAUCGUAAAACUCUGUUGUGAGGGAAGAAACCGUGCCAAUUAACUACUGGCACCUUGACGGUACCUCACCAGAAAGCCACGGCUAACUACGUGCCAGCAGCCGCGGUAAUACGUAGGUGGCAAGCGUUGUCCGGAAUUAUUGGGCGUAAAGCGCGCGCAGGCGGUCCUUUAAGUCUGAUGUGAAAGCCCACGGCUCAACCGUGGAGGGUCAUUGGAAACUGGAGGACUUGAGUGCAGAAGAGGAAAGUGGAAUUCCACGUGUAGCGGUGAAAUGCGUAGAGAUGUGGAGGAACACCAGUGGCGAAGGCGACUUUCUGGUCUGUAACUGACGCUGAGGCGCGAAAGCGU
rnacentral:rRNA from 1 species